AUGGAGAAUGAACUCUUUUUCCUUUCGCUCUGGUGAAGCUUCUCAUUAUCUCUGAUGGCCGUUCAAUACAGAGAAGCUUUAGAAAAUAAUUUCACAGCACCUUCGCAUGGUAACAACAGAAAUGAACAGUGAUUGGGGGGUAAAAGCCUUUUAUAGAUGGACCGACGAUUUGGAUUAACUGAUCUCCUUAUCGAUUUGUGUAUCUGGCAUUAAUCUGAUGCUCGAUUAGAUGAUGGUUAGGCACACCUCCCUCCAGAUUUACCUACGACAGAUUGAUCCAUGCUCUAGCUAAUAAGCCAAUCA
rnacentral:lncRNA from 1 species